rnacentral:rRNA from 1 species
GGGUUGUGAGGUUAAGCGACUAAGCGUACACGGUGGAUGCCCUGGCAGUCAGAGGCGAUGAAGGACGUGCUAAUCUGCGAUAAGCGUCGGUGAGGUGAUAUGAACCGUUAUAACCGGCGAUUUCCGAAUGGGGAAACCCAGUGUGUUUCGACACACUAUCAUUAACUGAAUCCAUAGGUUAAUGAGGCGAACCGGGGGAACUGAAACAUCUAAGUACCCCGAGGAAAAGAAAUCAACCGAGAUUCCCCAGUAGCGGCGAGCGAACGGGGGGAGGAGCCCAGAGCCUGAAUCAGUGUGUGUGUUAGUGGAAGCGUCUGGAAAGGCGCGCGAUACAGGGUGACAGCCCCGUACACAAAAAAAAUGCACAUAUUGUGAGCUCGAUGAGUAGGGCGGGACACGUGGUAUCCUGUCUGAAUAUGGGGGGACCAUCCUCCAAGGCUAAAUACUCCUGACUGACCGAUAGUGAACCAGUACCGUGAGGGAAAGGCGAAAAGAACCCCGGCGAGGGGAGUGAAAAAGAACCUGAAACCGUGUACGUACAAGCAGUGGGAGCCUCUUUAUGGGGUGACUGCGUACCUUUUGUAUAAUGGGUCAGCGACUUAUAUUCUGUAGCAAGGUUAACCGAAUAGGGGAGCCGAAGGGAAACCGAGUCUUAACUGGGCGUUAAGUUGCAGGGUAUAGACCCGAAACCCGGUGAUCUAGCCAUGGGCAGGUUGAAGGUUGGGUAACACUAACUGGAGGACCGAACCGACUAAUGUUGAAAAAUUAGCGGAUGACUUGUGGCUGGGGGUGAAAGGCCAAUCAAACCGGGAGAUAGCUGGUUCUCCCCGAAAGCUAUUUAGGUAGCGCCUCGUGAAUUCAUCUCCGGGGGUAGAGCACUGUUUCGGCAAGGGGGUCAUCCCGACUUACCAACCCGAUGCAAACUGCGAAUACCGGAGAAUGUUAUCACGGGAGACACACGGCGGGUGCUAACGUCCGUCGUGAAGAGGGAAACAACCCAGACCGCCAGCUAAGGUCCCAAAGUCAUGGUUAAGUGGGAAACGAUGUGGGAAGGCCCAGACAGCCAGGAUGUUGGCUUAGAAGCAGCCAUCAUUUAAAGAAAGCGUAAUAGCUCACUGGUCGAGUCGGCCUGCGCGGAAGAUGUAACGGGGCUAAACCAUGCACCGAAGCUGCGGCAGCGACACUAUGUGUUGUUGGGUAGGGGAGCGUUCUGUAAGCCUGUGAAGGUGGCCUGUGAGGGUUGCUGGAGGUAUCAGAAGUGCGAAUGCUGACAUAAGUAACGAUAAAGCGGGUGAAAAGCCCGCUCGCCGGAAGACCAAGGGUUCCUGUCCAACGUUAAUCGGGGCAGGGUGAGUCGACCCCUAAGGCGAGGCCGAAAGGCGUAGUCGAUGGGAAACAGGUUAAUAUUCCUGUACUUGGUGUUACUGCGAAGGGGGGACGGAGAAGGCUAUGUUGGCCGGGCGACGGUUGUCCCGGUUUAAGCGUGUAGGCUGGUUUUCCAGGCAAAUCCGGAAAACCAAGGCUGAGGCGUGAUGACGAGGCACUACGGUGCUGAAGCGACAAAUGCCCUGCUUCCAGGAAAAGCCUCUAAGCAUCAGGUAACAUCAAAUCGUACCCCAAACCGACACAGGUGGUCAGGUAGAGAAUACCAAGGCGCUUGAGAGAACUCGGGUGAAGGAACUAGGCAAAAUGGUGCCGUAACUUCGGGAGAAGGCACGCUGAUAUGUAGGUGAAGCGACUUGCUCGUGGAGCUGAAAUCAGUCGAAGAUACCAGCUGGCUGCAACUGUUUAUUAAAAACACAGCACUGUGCAAACACGAAAGUGGACGUAUACGGUGUGACGCCUGCCCGGUGCCGGAAGGUUAAUUGAUGGGGUUAGCGGUAACGCGAAGCUCUUGAUCGAAGCCCCGGUAAACGGCGGCCGUAACUAUAACGGUCCUAAGGUAGCGAAAUUCCUUGUCGGGUAAGUUCCGACCUGCACGAAUGGCGUAAUGAUGGCCAGGCUGUCUCCACCCGAGACUCAGUGAAAUUGAACUCGCUGUGAAGAUGCAGUGUACCCGCGGCAAGACGGAAAGACCCCGUGAACCUUUACUAUAGCUUGACACUGAACAUUGAGCCUUGAUGUGUAGGAUAGGUGGGAGGCUUUGAAGUGUGGACGCCAGUCUGCAUGGAGCCGACCUUGAAAUACCACCCUUUAAUGUUUGAUGUUCUAACGUUGGCCCGUAAUCCGGGUUGCGGACAGUGUCUGGUGGGUAGUUUGACUGGGGCGGUCUCCUCCUAAAGAGUAACGGAGGAGCACGAAGGUUGGCUAAUCCCCGGUCGGACAUCAGGAGGUUAGUGCAAUGGCAUAAGCCAGCUUGACUGCGAGCGUGACGGCGCGAGCAGGUGCGAAAGCAGGUCAUAGUGAUCCGGUGGUUCUGAAUGGAAGGGCCAUCGCUCAACGGAUAAAAGGUACUCCGGGGAUAACAGGCUGAUACCGCCCAAGAGUUCAUAUCGACGGCGGUGUUUGGCACCUCGAUGUCGGCUCAUCACAUCCCGGGCUGAAGUAGGUCCCAAGGGUAUGGCUGUUCGCCAUUUAAAGUGGUACGCGAGCUGGGUUUAGAACGUCGUGAGACAGUUCGGUCCCCUAUCUGCCGUGGGCGCUGGAGAACUGAGGGGGGCUGCUCCUAGUACGAGAGGACCGGAGUGGACGCAUCACUGGUGUUCGGGUUGUCAUGCCAAUGGCACUGCCCGGUAGCUAAAUGCGGAAGAGAUAAGUGCUGAAAGCAUCUAAGCACGAAACUUGCCCCGAGAUGAGUUCUCCCUGAGACUUAGAGUCUCCUGAAGGAACGUUGAAGACGACGACGUUGAUAGGCCGGGUGUGUAAGCGCAGCGAUGCGUUGAGCUAACCGGUACUAAUGAACCGUGAGGCUUAACCUUACAACGCCGAAG